GACGAACGCUGGCGGCGUGCUUAACACAUGCAAGUCGAACGGAAAGGCCCUGCUUUUGUGGGGUGCUCGAGUGGCGAACGGGUGAGUAACACGUGAGUAACCUGCCCUUGACUUUGGGAUAACUUCAGGAAACUGGGGCUAAUACCGGAUAGGAGCUCCUGCUGCAUGGUGGGGGUUGGAAAGUUUCGGCGGUUGGGGAUGGACUCGCGGCUUAUCAGCUUGUUGGUGGGGUAGGGGCUUACCAAGGCUUUGACGGGUAGCCGGCCUGAGAGGGUGACCGGCCACAUUGGGACUGAGAUACGGCACAGACUCCUACGGGAGGCAGCAGUGGGGAAUAUUGCACAAUGGGCGGAAGCCUGAUGCAGCAACGCCGCGUGCGGGAUGACGGCCUUCGGGUUGUAAACCGCUUUCGCCUGUGACGAAGCGUGAGUGACGGUAAUGGGUAAAGAAGCACCGGCUAACUACGUG
rnacentral:rRNA from 1 species